rnacentral:sRNA from 1 species
GUUUCAAUUCCUCAUAGGCAGGCUAUCGGCGGGGCUGGCCAUCCUCAGCCUGGAAUCCCGAGGCGCGG